rnacentral:rRNA from 1 species
GAUGAACGCUGGCGGCGUGCCUAAUACAUGCAAGUCGAGCGAAGCGGGGACGGGUGAGUAACACGUUGAUAACCUCCUAUAAGACUGGGAUAACUUCGGGAAACCGGAGCUAAACCGGAUUCUUAUAGCUGGUUCGACGCUGCAUUAGCUAGUUUGUAAGGUAACGGCGUACCAAGGCAACGAUGCAUCGCCGCCCUGAGAGGGUGAUCAGCCACACUUGAACUGAGACACGGUCCAGACUCCUACGGGAGGCAGCAGGAGGGAAGAUUCCGCAAUGGGCGCAAGCCUGACGGAGCAACGCCGCGUGAGUGAGGAAGGGCUUCGGAUCGUAAAGCUCUGUCAUUAGGGAAGCGGUACCUACUCAGAAAGCCACGGCUAACUCCGUGCCAGCAGCCGCGGUAAUAC